GACGAAGGGGGCUAGCGUUGUUCGGAAUUACUGGGCGUAAAGCGAGUGUAGGUGGUUGUCACAGUCAGGUGUGAAAGCCUUGAGCUCAACUCAAGAAAUGCACUUGAUACUAGGCGACUAGAGGACGGAGAGGAUAGUGGAAUUCCCAGUGUAGUGGUGAAAUACGUAGAGAUUGGGAAGAACACCAGUGGCGAAGGCGGCAUCCUGGACCGACAUUGACGCUGAACGGCGAAAGCUAGGGGAGCAAACGGG
rnacentral:rRNA from 1 species